ACGGAGGGGGUUAGCGUUGUUCGGAAUUACUGGGCGUAAAGCGCACGUAGGCGGAUUGACAAGUUGGGGGUGAAAUCCCGGGGCUCAACCCCGGAACUGCCUCCAAAACUGUCAGUCUUGAGUUCGAGAGAGGUGAGUGGAAUUCCGAGUGUAGAGGUGAAAUUCGUAGAUAUUCGGAGGAACACCAGUGGCGAAGGCGGCUCACUGGCUCGAUACUGACGCUGAGGUGCGAAAGCGUGGGGAGCAAACAGG
rnacentral:rRNA from 1 species